ensembl:misc_RNA Metazoa_SRP Metazoan signal recognition particle RNA
GCCAGGCAUGGUGGCGUGUGCCUGUAGUCCCAGCUACUCGGGAGGCUGAGGCGGGAGAAUUGCUUGAACCCGGGAGGCGGAGGGUGCAGUGAGCUGAGAUCACACCACUGCACUCCAGCCUGGGUGACAGAGAGAGACUCCGUCUCCA